rnacentral:rRNA from 1 species
UACGGGAGGCAGCAGGGGGAAUAUUGCACAAUGGGCGAAAGCCUGAUGCAGCUAUGCCGCGUGUAUGAAGAAGGCCUUAGGGUUGUAAAGUACUUUCAUCGGGGAGGAAAAACAAAACUAAUAAUUUUAUUUCUUGACGUUACCCGAAAAAGAAGCACCGGCUAACUCCGUGCCAGCAGCCGCGGUAAUACGGAGGGUGCUAGCGUUAAUCAGAAUUACUGGGCGUAAAGAGCACGUAGGUGGUUUUUUUAAGUCAGAUGUGAAAUCCCUGGGCUUAACCUGGAACUGCAUUUUGAAACUGAAAUACUAGAGUAUCGUAGAGGGAGGUAGAAUUCUAGGUGUAGCGGUGAAAUGCGUAGAUAUCUGGAGGAAUACCUGUGGCGAAAGCGGCCUCCUAAACGAAUACUGACACUGAGGGUGCGAAAGCGUGGGGAGCAAACAGGGAUUAGAUACC